CGGAUUUGGAGGAUCACAUGCCGAUUCCUCAUGCCGGCCCCCGACGUGCCGUAGGUAAUAACUCCCGACCUACUCUUAUGGAUAUCAGACUACUUAUCUCCAAAAUACUCAUGCCUGCAUUGGUCCGGGAACAACUGACUUGGACGAUCCGAGCCUUGCUGCGGCCCCUGCUGCUGCUCUGGUGUCGGCCGGCAAGAUGCGCGUUGCCGACACUGAUCUUUCCAGGACUAUGAAGCAGAAGCAAACCACUGGCCGGCAACUGAAGCCGAAACCCAUGGUCGUCAGGGAGGCUUUGACUGCUACUCAGUCUCAGACCUGUAUCGCAUCCGAGAUCCCGGCAACCUUGUCUCCGCGUGCAGAGCCUUCUACUCAAGCCACGGGAGAAACCGAGACCGCCGCAGAUCCGACAUCUCCCGUCCGGGAUGUCGGCCCUGGCAUCGACGCUUCGAGCGUCGCUCAAGCUGGGACAUCAGCGGCCGGGACAUCAGCGGCUGGGGCUGCUCUUUCGCCGGCAAGGCCUGAUGCGCAACCGCAACCGUUGGCCACGGAUACUCCUCGCCAGCCGGCAGCGCAGCCCCAACAACCUCAAGUAACAGCAACGCGGCCGCCACCACCGCCGCCGUAGCCGCAACCGACACAGUUAGUGGCUGCUCGGGCUAAAAAGACUCGGAGCUCAGCCAUCCCGGCGGGACAACGUCCUCCGAGUUUCUCCGGUUCGCCAUCCAUCCGGGGUACUCAAGGAGUUCCUCUUAGGACAACGAGCGGGCACAGCUGGGGAUCUCUUGGCCAGCAUGUCAUGGACUGGAAUAGCGCCGACAGCUACGAGGUCAAUUCCGGCACCAUCCAGACAGCGUAGCAGAACGCUCUGGUGGGGGCAUCACCUGUGGCGGCAAUUCCAGAGUCGGUGGCGGCCCAGAUGUUCCAGGCAAGGGUUGCGUUGUUCGAAUCCUGCCGAGCUGCCGAGAGCUGUAUGAACAAACGCAACACGACCUUCAAACUCUUGCUUGCAUCACACCGGAAAUUGGCAGCGAAGCACAAGGCUUUGGUGGCCGAACAGCAGAACAAGACCGGGAUGAUGCACAAGUGUCGGAGCUUCUAAAGCGCGUCACGGAAGUGCAAGGGGAGAAGACUCAGCUGGUGGAGCAGCACCGAGAUGAGGUGGCCCGGCUAAGGGCGCAACGCGAAGUGCAGGCCGAGGCGCAUAAGGCUGAGGUAGUCCAACUGUCGCACCAGUGGCACCCGGGGUACCACCGCUGCGUGACGCGUGGGCCCUGUCCCCGAGUUCCCGGGAAGGUUCCAUCCUGGGCAGCGGCUACGAGCAGCCCGGCAAGCUACUAGCCCGGAAGGGCUAGCGAGGCUUCGGGGAGUAUUCCCACCUGGGCACCUCCCGGGACGCCGCUUCCCGGGGGGAGGUUCCCGGGUGCGUUGGGCCCGAGCGCUUC